GGCUCCGUAGCUCAGUGGUUAGAGCGCUGGUCUCGUAAACCAGAAGUCGUGAGUUCAAUCCUCAUUUGGGCCU